rnacentral:tmRNA from 1 species
GGGGACGUACAGAUUCGACGGACCAGCACUUUAACAACUGCAAGCCGCUAAGGAAACAUUACAGCGUUAAAUAUUGUUUCAAAAAUAAAUGCUAAGGCACAAAACCUUGCAUCCCAAGUGUUUACGCUUGGUGUACUUGGGCAACCAAGUUACACCGUAGCCCGAGCAUAAGGGUACUUUAAGCUAAUCUCUAUCUGACGGAAUGCUUAAGGUAUGUACAACAGUCGGAUUGCUGUUCCGAUAGUUUUGGUUGAUCGAUCGGGAUUUAAGACAACUCAAUCAAGUAUUGGUUUUCCUGCUAGGAGGUUACAACCUUUACUUAAAAAUAUCCUGGCUAAGCUUGUAGAUGUUUUUAAAUUGUCAGUUCGCACAGGGCUCAAUGCCCUCGUCUCCACCC